rnacentral:rRNA from 1 species
AUUGAACGCUGGCGGCAGGCCUAACACAUGCAAGUCGAGCGGAUGAAGGGAGCUUGCUCCUGGAUUCAGCGGCGGACGGGUGAGUAAUGCCUAGGAAUCUGCCUGGUAGUGGGGGAUAACGUCCGGAAACGGGCGCUAAUACCGCAUACGUCCUGAGGGAGAAAGUGGGGGAUCUUCGGACCUCACGCUAUCAGAUGAGCCUAGGUCGGAUUAGCUAGUUGGUGGGGUAAAGGCCUACCAAGGCGACGAUCCGUAACUGGUCUGAGAGGAUGAUCAGUCACACUGGAACUGGGACACGGUCCAGACUCCUACGGGAGGCAGCAGUGGGGAAUAUUGGACAAUGGGCGAAAGCCUGACCCAGCAAGGCCGCGUGGGUGAAGAAGGUCUUCGGAUGGUAAAGCCCUUUAAGUUGGGAGGAAGGGCAGUAAGUUAAAACCUUGCUAUUUUGACGUUACCAACAGAAUAAGCACCGGCUAACUUCGUG